UGGGGUAUAGCUCAGUGGUUAGAGCAACGGGCUCAUAAUUCGUCGGCCGGUGGCUCAAGUCCACCUGCCCCAA
rnacentral:tRNA from 1 species